GCCACAUGAUGAGCUGUGUAGCUGCAGUAGCCUUCUGGGCCGUGAUGACCUGCUAUCUAUCACCCUUCUCUGAUGGCU